CCUGUAGCAGUGAUGCUAACCCAGCAGCUAAAUACACCUGGUACAAGGAGGAUGAAGACUCUCCAAAAGCUUCAGGACAGAUCUUCACCAUCACAGACUUCAGAGCUGAACACAGUGGGAAUUAUUCCUGUGGAGCCCAGAACAAGUUAGGACGCAGUAUCUCCACCUUUCAUCUGAUUCUUGUGGCAGGAUCAUGGGAGCUACUACCUUUUGUAACAAUCCCUGUUGUUCUCCUGGCUGUCAUAUCUCUCUCUGUCUUCCUGUGGAUCAGAAAAAAGAGGGCUUCCAGGGACUCUGCUGAACCUGAAGAGAGACCGGAACACACAGAAGAGUAUGCCACCAUCAUAUCACCCCACCCUCAUCCACCUCCACUGGCUGCCGGUCAAGUCCCGG